rnacentral:misc_RNA from 1 species
CAAGCAUUGAUAAAAUAUCGAUAUCAUUUUUUUCCAUGUUAUACAAAGAGGCACCUUUACAUGGGACAAUAUGAAACAAGGUAUCGCUAGAAACUACAAACUGGACAUAUUACCAGUGUUUAAAGAGGAAAGUGAAAUGAUUAAAUCACAAAAAUGUGAAACGUCAAGCAGCAGAUCAUCAUCAAAAGCCAUGACAGCU